AGAGUUUGAUCAUGGCUCAGAUUGAACGCUGGCGGCAGGCCUAACACAUGCAAGUCGAGCGGUAGCACAGAGAGCUUGCUCUCGGGUGACGAGCGGCGGACGGGUGAGUAAUGUCUGGGAAACUGCCUGAUGGAGGGGGAUAACUACUGGAAACGGUAGCUAAUACCGCAUAACGUCGCAAGACCAAAGUGGGGGACCUUCGGGCCUCAUGCCAUCAGAUGUGCCCAGAUGGGAUUAGCUAGUAGGUGGGGUAAUGGCUCACCUAGGCGACGAUCCCUAGCUGGUCUGAGAGGAUGACCAGCCACACUGGAACUGAGACACGGUCCAGACUCCUACGGGAGGCAGCAGUGGGGAAUAUUGCACAAUGGGCGCAAGCCUGAUGCAGCCAUGCCGCGUGUGUGAAGAAGGCCUUCGGGUUGUAAAGCACUUUCAGCGGGGAGGAAGGCGAUAAGGUUAAUAACCUUAGCGAUUGACGUUACCCGCAGAAGAAGCACCGGCUAACUCCGUGCCAGCAGCCGCGGUAAUACGGAGGGUGCAAGCGUUAAUCGGAAUUACUGGGCGUAAAGCGCACGCAGGCGGUCUGUCAAGUCGGAUGUGAAAUCCCCGGGCUCAACCUGGGAACUGCAUUCGAAACUGGCAGGCUAGAGUCUUGUAGAGGGGGGUAGAAUUCCAGGUGUAGCGGUGAAAUGCGUAGAGAUCUGGAGGAAUACCGGUGGCGAAGGCGGCCCCCUGGACAAAGACUGACGCUCAGGUGCGAAAGCGUGGGGAGCAAACAGGAUUAGAUACCCUGGUAGUCCACGCCGUAAACGAUGUCGAUUUGGAGGUUGUGCCCUUGAGGCGUGGCUUCCGGAGCUAACGCGUUAAAUCGACCGCCUGGGGAGUACGGCCGCAAGGUUAAAACUCAAAUGAAUUGACGGGGGCCCGCACAAGCGGUGGAGCAUGUGGUUUAAUUCGAUGCAACGCGAAGAACCUUACCUGGUCUUGACAUCCACAGAACUUACCAGAGAUGCAUUGGUGCCUUCGGGAAUUGUGAGACAGGUGCUGCAUGGCUGUCGUCAGCUCGUGUUGUGAAAUGUUGGGUUAAGUCCCGCAACGAGCGCAACCCUUAUCCUUUGUUGCCAGCGGUUAGGCCGGGAACUCAAAGGAGACUGCCAGUGAUAAACUGGAGGAAGGUGGGGAUGACGUCAAGUCAUCAUGGCCCUUACGACCAGGGCUACACACGUGCUACAAUGGCAUAUACAAAGAGAAGCGACCUCGCGAGAGCAAGCGGACCUCAUAAAGUAUGUCGUAGUCCGGAUUGGAGUCUGCAACUCGACUCCAUGAAGUCGGAAUCGCUAGUAAUCGUAGAUCAGAAUGCUACGGUGAAUACGUUCCCGGGCCUUGUACACACCGCCCGUCACACCAUGGGAGUGGGUUGCAAAAGAAGUAGGUAGCUUAACCUUCGGGAGGGCGCUUACCACUUUGUGAUUCAUGACUGGGGUGAAGUCGUAACAAGGUAACCGUAGGGGAACCUGCGGUUGGAUCACCU
rnacentral:rRNA from 1 species